GCAUGAGAUUUUCUUGAAAUGCAGGUAACCUAUUGCCCAGACUGUGGCAGAGCGUGCAAAUACGAUACGAGAUCGGUUUUAGGCAGUGGCGAAAUCAUCAAAGGAAAAUUGACGUGUACUUGUGGUUGGCACACGUUAGAAAUGAUGCACGUUGUGCAAUAUGUGAAGAGGAAGAUUCUGAAUGCUAACUUAUAUGCUUAAUGCACUAAUUUUGCCCCAGCCCAAGUUCUCUGCCUUCUACAACCAGGGGUGGUCAUCUUUUUCGGGACAAAUGUAUGAAGAGAUCAUUUAUUUUUGGUUCAAGGGGGUCACAAACACUUUUGUCCAUUAGAGUGUCAUUCAGUAGGCUCAGUUUUUUUUUUAAAAAAAUUGAAUUUUGUGGCAUCCCAAGCUAUCAAAUUUGACAUAUAAUGGCUCGAGUAAUUGUGACUCUAUUGUAACAAAGAUAAAUGAUGACAUGGUAUACAAUCCUUUCUUUUUCUUU